AGUUAAAGCUUUCUGUCAUUGUAUGAUGAGGCUCUAUGUGUUGUGGCUGUCUUAACUGUGACAUAUGCUGUGACAGAGCAGAGAGCACAGCCCUUCAAAGACAAAAAGUACUGGGCAUACUGGGCUCCUGUAAUUGCCACUGAAACACCAAUGAGUAAAGCAAACCUGUUGGGUUUCAAACCUGCUGAUCCUAAGGGAUGAAUUGAGGACAUUUUGCCUUAAACAGCUUCAUUUCUUGCCAGACUAAAUUCACUUGCAUUUUUGUUAACAACUUCAUCAACUAUGACCUUAUUGAAUAUUGCCAUGCUAUGAGACUUUCUGUACUGUGUGAUCUUAAUUGAUUGAUGCAUGGGAGCAGAAAGACAACAGAGCCAUUAUACUGACUAUUUUGCUAUCUUCUAGGAAAUAAAAUGACCAGCAGCACCUUUGCAAAUGAUUUUUACCUGCCUUUGAAAAGACAACAAGUCAAAGGGCAAGUGACCUUAACCAGCAGAAAUCCACCAAAAAGUCACAGAAAGUUAGCUGAAGUGAAAAAUGGUGUUAAUUGGGGUUUGGUCAGUCAGUCCAGCCCUUGUUUUUGUGAGUAGGAGGGUGCAUGUGCCCAGAACUGAUUUUAAAACCAAGGCCUAGCUGGCGCUGAGCACCAGGAAAGUGCUUCCUAUCAAACAUUUUCCUGGGGAUGCUGACAGCAAUAUAACAACUGUAACUCAACACAGGAAGAACCAGGUGGUUUUGGCUGUGCACAGUAAUUUAUCUGGAUCACACAGUAAAGCACAAAGGAAGACUGAAGACAAUCUGAGCACGGCUUUGGUGUUACACUGGAGGCAAUGGCGUUUCAGUGAAGGAAGUCCACAUGAGCAGGACUGAUAUUGCUGUGCAAGUUGUGUGAGAGGGGUGGAAAUGAAAACUGCCUUGCCCCAGCACAAAAAGGUCAGCAUACAUUGACGGAGUCAGUGUGUGGUCACAUUGGGACCAGCUGGUUAUGAGGGAAUUUAAUUGGCUUUGGCGAAAUUUGGGAAAAGACAGAUGUUUCAGAGCUGGCUGUGUUCCUGCAGCAUGAUUGUCAUAGUGUAAUUUCCCACUGGUGUGUUUCACAUCCUCGGAAGCCCAAUUAGCCAUUGAAUCUUUGCUUGCAGCAGGCAGAACUAGGAAUGUGCUGGUUUUCCCCCAAGCAGCUACUUUCUUGUUUUAUGCAUGCAAGGAAAAAUAAAAAGUCGUCUUUUUCAGUUAACUGAGCCACAGCACCAGCAUUUCAUACUAGCAAACCUUUAAACAGAGGCUGUUCUGUAUAUUCACAAUAUCUCACAUCUCCUGAGCACUCUAAUGU